AUGGCUUGUCACGUGAAGGCCAUUGUGUUUGGCGCCGCCGUCCUGGCAGCAUUUGUUCUCGCGACUGAGGGCCGCGCUGCUCGGAAGGACCUGGGGCUGGGCCUCGACCUCGGCGGCGGCGGCGGCCUCGGGGUCGGCACGGGCGGCGGUCUGGGAGUCGGCACCGGUGGUGGCGUGGGCAUCGGCUCAGGAAUCGGUGUCGGCAUUGGCGGUGGCGGUGGCGGCUCUGGCUCUGGCUCCGGGUCAGGGUCCGGGUCUUACUCAGGCUCAGGCUCAGGCUCCGGGUCUGGGUCUUGGUCUGGCUCAGGCUCAAGGUCGGGCUCUGGCUCGUCAUCGGCAGGGUCAAGUGCAGGCUCGUACGCCGAGUCGGGCGCGGGCUCGAACGCAGGGCCAGGCGACGCAGGGUCGUACGCCGGUUCACGGGCUGGCUCCUACGCGGGCUCCAACGCCGGGAACGGAGGCUCCGGCGCUGGCUCGUACGCCGGCUCUGAGGCUGGCUCGUACGCAGGGUCCGGUGCUGGCCCACAUGGUGGGUCCGGGGCCGGCUCGUACGCGGGGUCCAGGGCUGGCUCCUACGCUGGCAGCGGGCAUGGCAAGUGA
rnacentral:rRNA from 1 species